rnacentral:tRNA from 1 species
UUGAGGCGCCGGGUAGCGAUCCCGGUGCCUCUCGCCUACUAGGCGAGCGCUCUACCAUCUCAGCUACGCCCCC